UAGCUCAGCUGGUUAGAGCACAUGACUGUUAAUCAUGGGGUCCUUGGUUCGAGCCCAAG
rnacentral:tRNA from 2 species